rnacentral:lncRNA from 1 species
CCGACACCGGCACCGCCGCCCCGUCCCGCAUCGCCGCCAUCAUCCUGCCCCGCACGGAGCCCCGCGGGGCGGCACAGCAAUAACGGCGGCGGGGAUCCGUCAGAGGAGCAACGGGAGCGAAACCGAACCGACCCGGAACCGCAGCGACGGCGAACCGCUCUGCGCUCCGCUGGGCGGAUGAGGGCGGAACAGCGCCCCCUGGUGGACACUGCGCCGCGGUCCUCCCAGAGGACAUAUAUAUGUGUGUAUGUCGACGUGGGUCUAUGUAUGACGAUGUAUGUCGAUGUAUGUUGAUGUAUGACGAUGUAUGACCACGUAUGUUGAUGUAUGACGAUGUAUGUCUGUGUAUGUCCAUGUAUGUUGAUGUAUGUCGAUGUGUGUCUGUGUAUGUUAAUGUAUGUCAAUGUAUGGCUAUGUAUGUAGAUAUAUGUCAAUGUAUGUCUGUGUAUGUCAGUGAGUGUCUAUGUAUGUCUAUGUAUGUCCACAUAUGUCUGUAUAUGUCUAUGUAUGUGGCUGUAUGUUGAUGCAUGACUAUGUACAACUAUGUAUGUUGAUGUAUGUCGAUGUAUGUCAACCUAUGCCUAUGUAUGUUGGAUGUAUGUCAACGUAUGUCGAUGCAUGACUAUGUACAACUAUGUAUGUUCAUGUAUACUGAUGUAUGUUGAUGUAUGUCAGUGUAUGUUGAUCUAUGACCAUGUAUGUUGGAUGUAUGUCAAUGUAUGACUAUGUACAACUACAUAUGUCAAUGUAUGUCAACCUAUGCCUAUGUAUGCUGGAUGUAUGUCCAUGUAUGUCGAUGCAUGACUAUGUACAACUAUGUAUGUUGAUGUAUACUGAUGUAUGUUGAUGUAUGUCAGUGUAUGUUGAUCUAUGACCAUGUAUGUUGGAUGUAUGUCCAUGUAUGUCGAUGUAUGACUACGUACAACUACAUAUGUCGAUGUAUGUCAACCUAUGCCUAUGUAUGUCGGGUGUAUGACCAUGUAUGUCCAUGUAUGUCGAUAUAUGUCCAUGUAUGUCGAUGUCUGUAUCAAUACAUGCACAGACGGCACCAAUCCGUGUCGGGUCAGC